rnacentral:rRNA from 1 species
CGGGCGCACGGCGGAUGCCUUGGCACAGGGAGCCGAUGAAGGACGCGGCAAGCUGCGAUAAUCCCCGGCGAGGAGCACACAUCCUUCGACCCGGGGGUCUCCGAAUGGGCGAACCCAUCCACAGCAGUGUGGAUAUCCCCACCCCGAACACAUAGGGGUGGGGAGGACAACCCGGGGAACUGAAACAUCUAAGUACCCGGAGGAGAGGAAAUCAAUCUCGAGACUCCCCGAGUAGCGGCGAGCGAAAGGGGACCGAUGGCCAAACCGUCGAGCGGGCAUACCCGGCAGGGGUUCCGCCGACGGGGUUGCAGGGCCGCGCAUCCGGGGGCUGCCGCCCCCGGGCGCAGGUCCGGCUGGGGAGCGGAACGGCAUGGGAGGGCCGGCCGCAGCGGGUGACAGCCCCGUACGCGAACCCAGACCGGACGGCGCGACGCGGUCCCUGAGUAGGGCCGGGCACGUGAAACCCGGUCCGAACCUGGGUGGACCACCAUCCAAGCCUGAGUACUACCCUGUGACCGAUAGCGCACCAGUACCGUGAGGGAAAGGUGAAAAGCACCCCGGGAGGGGAGUGAAACAGUACCUGAAACCGUGCGCCCACGAGCAGUCGGAGCAACUUUCAGUUGUGACGGCGUGCCUUUUGUAGAAUGAGCCAGCGAGUCGCUGGCGCGGGGCGAGGUUAACCGAAAGGGAGCCGGAGCGAAAGCGAGCCUUAACAGGGCGACUUGAGUCCCGCGCCGCGGACGCGAAGCCGGGUGAGCUAUCCGUGGGCAGGCUGAAGCGGGGGUAAGACCCCGUGGAGGGCCGAACGCACGUCGGUUGAAAACGGCGGCGAUGACCUGCGGAUAGGGGUGAAAGGCCAAUCAAACCCGGAGAUAUCUCGUUCUCCCCGAAAUAGCUUUAGGGCUAGCGUCGCGCGUUCACCGCCGGAGGUAGAGCACCGGAUGGACGAGGGGGCUUCGCCGCCUACCGAAUCCAACCGAACUCCGAAUGCCGGCGGCCCAGAGCGCGGCAGUCAGAGCAUGUGGGCUAAGCUGUGUGCUCGAGAGGGAAACAGCCCGGACCGCCCGCUAAGGUCCCCAAGUUCCAGCCGAGUGGCAAAGGAUGUGCGUCCGCCCAGACAACCAGGAUGUUGGCUUAGAAGCAGCCAUCCAUUCAAAGAGUGCGUAACAGCUCACUGGUCGAGUGGACAUGCGCCGACAAUACACGGGGCUAAGCUGGACACCGAAGCGGCGGGAUUUUGAUUUUCAGAAUCGGUAGGGGAGCUUCCCAUGGGCGGAGAAGCCGGAGGGCGACCGACGGUGGAGCGCAUGGGAGUGAGAAUGCUGGCAUGAGUAGCGAGAGACGAGAGAGUAACUCGUCCGCCGUGAACCCGAGGUUUCCUGGGCAAGGCUAAUCCUCCCAGGGUCAGUCGGGGGCUAAGGCGAGGCCGGUAGGCGUAGCCGACGCGCAGCAGGCAGACAUUCCUGCACCGCGCACGCGGCGCUACGACCGACGGGGCGACGGAUGGGGGUGGCUCGGCGGGGUUCUGGACGUCCCCGUGAUGGAGCGCGGCCCGCGGACCAGGGAAAUCCGGUCCGCAGAAGGGCGAGGCUCCGGACGAAGCGACUGAGCGAAGCGAGUGAGCCCGAGGUCCCUAGAAAAACCCCUAGGCAGGCGCGUGCGCGCCCGUACCGCAAACCGACACAGGUGGGUGGGUAGAACAUACCGAGGCGAUCGGGUCAACCAUGGUCAAGGAACUCGGCACAAUGGCCCCGUAACUUCGGGAGAAGGGGUGCCCGCGCGUACGUGAACCGGCUUGCCCGGGGAGCGGAGGCGGGCCGCAGUGGAGAGGCCCAAGCGACUGUUUACCAAAAACACAGGACUCUGCAGAAGCCGCAAGGCGACGUAUAGGGUCUGACGCCUGCCCGGUGCCGGAAGGUCACGCGGAGGAGUUAGCCGCAAGGCGAAGCCCCGAAGCCAAGCCCCGGUAAACGGCGGCCGUAACUAUAACGGUCCUAAGGUAGCGAAAUUCCUUGUCGGGUAAGUUCCGACCUGCACGAAAGGCGCAACGACUUGGGCGCUGUCUCGACCAUGGACCCGGUGAAAUUGCACUGGUCGUGAAGAUGCGACUUACCCGCGGAAGGACGGAAAGACCCCGUGAACCUUCACUGCAGCUUGGCAUUGGCCGCUGGUCCCGCGUGUAGAGGAUAGGCAGGAGGCAUCGAUCCGGAGGCGCCAGCCCCCGGGGAGCCGCCCUUGGAAUACUGCCCUCGCGCGACCGGCGUCCUAACCCGAGGCCGUCAACCGGCUCGGGGACCGUGCCAGGCGGGCAGUUUGACUGGGGCGGUCGCCUCCUAAAGGGUAACGGAGGCGCGCGAAGGUCCGCUCGGGACGGUCGGCAACCGUCCUUUUGAAUGCAAGAGUACAAGCGGGCUUGACUGCGAGGCCCACAAGCCGAGCAGGUGCGAAAGCAGGCUCUAGUGAUCCGGCGGCCCCGAGUGG